rnacentral:pre_miRNA from 1 species
CUCUUUGGUUACCUAGCUGUAUGAGUGUUAUUGAGAUUUCAUAAAGUUAGGCGACCGAAGUU